rnacentral:piRNA from 1 species
CGGGAAUGCUGCGGGACAGGGGAACCUGG